AGCGAACGCUGGCGGCAGGCCUAACACAUGCAAGUCGAACGCACCUUCGGGUGAGUGGCGGACGGGUGAGUAACACGUGGGAACGUACCUUUUGGUUCGGAAUAACGCAGGGAAACUUGUGCUAAUACCGAAUGUGCCCUUCGGGGGAAAGAUUUAUCGCCAUUAGAGCGGCCCGCGUUAGAUUAGCUAGUUGGUGAGGUAAAGGCUCACCAAGGCUACGAUCUAUAGCUGGUCUGAGAGGAUGAUCAGCCACAUUGGGACUGA
rnacentral:rRNA from 1 species